rnacentral:rRNA from 1 species
UAUAUUAAAGUUGUUGCAGUUAAAAAGCUCGUAGUUGGAUUUGUGGCUGUCGCGAGCGGCCUGACACUUAUGUGUUAGUGCCUGCCUGCGACGCCAUCCUUGGGUGGAACCUGUGUGGCAUUAGGUUGUCGUGCAGGGGAUGCCCAUCGUUUACUGUGAGAAAAUUAGAGUGUUCAAAGCAGGCUUAUGCCGUUGAAUAUGUUAGCAUGGAAUAAUAAGAUAGGACCUUGGUACUAUUUUGUUGGUUUGCGCACCAAGGUAAUGGUUAAUAGGGACAGUCGGGGGUAUUCGUAUUCCAUUGUCAGAGGUGAAAUUCUUGGAUUUUUGGAAGACGAACUACUGCGAAAGCAUUUACCAAGGAUGUUUACAUUAAUCAAGAACGAAAGUUAGGGGAUCGAAAAU